rnacentral:rRNA from 1 species
AGAGUUUGAUCCUGGCUCAGAACGAACGCUGGCGGCAGGCUUAACACAUGCAAGUCGAACGCACCGCAAGGUGAGUGGCAGACGGGUGAGUAACGCGUGGGAACCUUCCCUUUGGUACGGAAUAACUUCGGGAAACCGAAGCUAAUACCGUAUAAGUCCUUCGGGAGAAAGAUUUAUCGCCAAAGGAUGGGCCCGCGUUGGAUUAGCUAGUUGGUAGGGUAAAGGCCUACCAAGGCUACGAUCCAUAGCUGGUCUGAGAGGAUGAUCAGCCACACUGGGACUGAGACACGGCCCAGACUCCUACGGGAGGCAGCAGUGGGGAAUAUUGGACAAUGGGGGCAACCCUGAUCCAGCCAUGCCGCGUGAGUGAAGAAGGCCUUAGGGUUGUAAAGCUCUUUUGGCGGGGACGAUAAUGACGGUACCCGCAGAAUAAGCCCCGGCUAACUUCGUGCCAGCAGCCGCGGUA